UAAUAGCUGGCAGCGUGGGAAAAAUCUUGAAUCUCGCUAACUAUACAUCGCAACAGAUAAUUCUGACAUCAUUAAGAAGUUAGUGAUGACGAGAAAACAAUAUAUAGAGCUUGUUUCUGAUCAGUAUUGUACAACUACAUAAUUGGCUACUUCCUGUAUAGCACGCGAUGUGAUUACGCCCUCAUGACCAAUUAGAACGACCACCCGUGACUUCACAACCGCCGCCAGGUCAAUUGUGGCAUUCUAAUCACUACAGGGGUCAUCUGUUCCAGAAACAAAGGAUUCUUCGCUUUCCGAAGUCUCUUCUUCUUCACGCCAUACUUCAAUGAGAACACGGUCGACCGCUUCUUCAACUAUCCCGUCAGUCUCUCGAUAGUGCUUUUCUACUUUUUGAAUGACGUGCUUGACACAGUUGGCCCAUUUCUCAGCUGUAACCUGCGUAAUGCCUUAGGAAGUUAGUGAUGACGAGAAGGAAAAUAUAUAGAGCUUGUUUCUGAUCAGUAUUGUACAACUACCUAAUUGGCUACUUCCUGUAUAGCACGCGAUGUGAUUACGCCCUCAUGACCAAUUAGAACGACCACCCGUGACUUCACACCCGCCGCCAGGUCAAUUGUGGCAUUCUAAUCACUACAGGGGUCAUCUGUUCCAGAAACAAAGGAUUCUUCGCUUUCCGAAGUCUCUUCUUCUUCACGCCUUACUUCAAUGAGAACACGGUCGACCGAUUCUUCAACUAUCCCGUCGGUCUCUCGAUAGUGCUUUUCUACUUUUUGAAUGACGUGCUUGACACAGUUGGCCCAUUUCUUAGCUGUAACCUGCGUAAUGCCUUCUCUCGCAAGCUACUCAAUUCCCGCCAUGGUGAAAUCCUUGUUAGGAGAUGCCGCAUAGCCCUUGACUUGUGGCCAGACCAGCUCGAUCGGGUUCAACUCGCAGUGACCGACAGGCAAUCUCAGAACGCCAUGACUGUGCUGACUAGCGAAGACGUCAGUCAGUUUCUUGUCGUAUGGGAUUUCAUGCGAAUCCAGAUACUGGAUUAUGUCCUUUUUUGAGCUGCUUUUUGUCGGGAUUUUCUCAACAACGCUAUUAAUGAUACAGUACUUGGCAUUGUCAAGAACAAUAACAGAAGUUGCUGGAAGGUUUGGAACCAACCUCUCUCUGAACCACUCCAAAAAGUGGGCCGUGUUCAUUUCCUGAUGGUAGUCACCGGUGCCUUUCUUUCCUCUGAAAACGAUCAUUAGAAAUCCAACCCUCUUUCCACCCUGCAUCGAGAAUAAUGAGUCUUCCACCGUUUCCUGAUGGGACUCUCAAACCUUCUUUGCCAUCGUAGUCAGUCCAGCAUCGUUCCAAGUGCUAAAAUCAGAUCCAUCGUUGGGAGUUCUCUGUCUGUGUAGAACCGGUGAAUUCUACGACGAAUGGCUCCUUGAAAGUUGUCAGUCUGCUGUUGGGCAGGACCUUUAUAAACCAGACUUCUUGCCUUUCUUUGCGGGACUAUGCUCAUCUCCUUCAACGUUUACUUGGCGAUGAACUCUGAAUACAGUGCGUUCAGGUACCUGCAUCGUCAUUGCCGUUCUUUUUGUUACACUUUCCAGCAUGAUUGGCCCAUCACGCUUCUCUUGCUCAAAGAAGGCAUGGAUGUUACAGAUCAUCCGUUUGUGAGAACUUCUGUAGGCAUCGAUCCUUUUUCUAGAACUUCUUCCUUGAAUUGUAUCUGAGCUAUCUGUAGGAAUAGCUACGGAUUUUGCAAUAACAGUUGAAGACAUUAUAGCAAAUGAGCAAGAAAACACCAAAAUUGAGAUACUGAAUAGAUUGAGUGUACUAUAUAGCUAAAUGUAUGCGUACAUGGAAUUUGUGGAUGUUACAUAUGACAUAGAGAAUGAAUGAUUCAUUACUGCA